GACGAACGCUGGCGGCGUGCUUAACACAUGCAAGUCGAACGGAAAGGCCCUGCUUUUGUGGGGUGCUCGAGUGGCGAACGGGUGAGUAACACGUGAGUAACCUGCCCUUGACUUUGGGAUAACUUCAGGAAACUGGGGCUAAUACCGGAUAGGAGCUCCUGCUGCAUGGUGGGGGUUGGAAAGUUUCGGCGGUUGGGGAUGGACUCGCGGCUUAUCAGCUUGUUGGUGGGGUAGUGGCUUACCAAGGCUUUGACGGGUAGCCGGCCUGAGAGGGUGACCGGCCACAUUGGGACUGAGAUACGGCCCAGACUCCUACGGGAGGCAGCAGUGGGGAAUAUUGCACAAUGGGCGGAAGCCUGAUGCAGCAACGCCGCGUGCGGGAUGACGGCCUUCGGGUUGUAAACCGUUUUCGCCUGUGACGAAGCGUGAGUGACGGUAAUGGGUAAAGAAGCACCGGCUAACUACGU
rnacentral:rRNA from 1 species